UGAAAGUGAUUGCAGUACCAGUUUUGGCCACAAUCUUACAUAUGGUUCCUUUAAAUACUUCCUCAUUUCACUGUCAGUGUACCAUGCAUUUCUUUUUAUUGUUCCCCAUCAGGUUUUCCUCCCAUGUCUCUGUCAAAGACACACCUCAAACACAUACCUCCAACUCUGUUGCUCGAUUUUCUGUACUUAUGUGUAUUUCCCUUUCUGGCAUUUGGCCUCAGGAAACCAGGCCCCAAUAUAUAAGAAUAUGCCUAUAUAUAGAAUGCAGUAUUCAGUAGGUCUUCCAAUAUUCAGUGUUACCAGUUGAAUAGAAGGUAUUGACAUAUAUCCCUAAUGUCAUCUCUUAUGGACCCUUUCA